rnacentral:rRNA from 1 species
AGAGUUUGAUCCUGGCUCAGGAUGAACGCUAGCGGCAGGCUUAAUACAUGCAAGUCGAGGGGCAGCACGGGUAGCAAUACCUGGUGGCGACCGGCAAACGGGUGCGGAACACGUACACAAUCUACCAAUACUCGAGAGUUUGAUCCUGGCUCAGGAUGAACGCUGGCGGUCUGCUUAACACAUGCAAGUCGAACGAAUCCCUUCGGGGAUGAGUGGCGGACGGGUGAGUAACGCGUGAGAAUCUGCCUUUUGGUCGGGGACAACCACUGGAAACGGUGGCUAAUACCGGAUAAGCCUGCGGGUAAAAGAUUAAUUGCCAAGAGAGGAGCUCGCGUCUGAUUAGCUAGUUGGUGAGGUAAAGGCUCACCAAGGCGGCGAUCAGUAGSCUGGUCUGAGAGGAUGAUCAGCCACACUGGGACUGAGACACGGCCCAGACUCCUACGGGAGGCAGCAGUGGGGAAUUUUCCGCAAUGGGCGAAAGCCUGACGGAGCAAGACCGCGUGAGGGAGGAAGGCUCUUGGGUUGUAAACCUCUUUUGUCAGGGAAGAACACAAUGACGGUACCUGAAGAAUCAGCAUCGGCUAACUCCGUGCCAGCAGCCGCGGUAAUACGGAGGAUGCAAGCGUUAUCCGGAAUUAUUGGGCGUAAAGCGUCCGCAGGUGGCACUUCAAGUCUGCUGUCAAAGACCGGGGCUUAACCCUGGAAAGGCAGUGGAAACUGAAGCGCUAGAGUGUGGCAGGGGUAGAGGGAAUUCCCGGUGUAGCGGUGAAAUGCGUAGAGAUCGGGAAGAACAUCGGUGGCGAAAGCGCUCUACUGGGCCACAACUGACACUCAAGGACGAAAGCUAGGGGAGCGAAUGGGAUUAGAUACCCCAGUAGUCCUAGCCGUAAACGAUGGAUACUAGGUGUGGCUUGUAUCGACCCGAGCCGUGCCGUAGCUAACGCGUUAAGUAUCCCGCCUGGGGAGUACGCACGCAAGUGUGAAACUCAAAGGAAUUGACGGGGGCCCGCACAAGCGGUGGAGUAUGUGGUUUAAUUCGAUGCAACGCGAAGAACCUUACCAGGGCUUGACAUGUCCGGAAUCUCCUGGAAACGGGAGAGUGCCUUCGGGAGCCGGAACACAGGUGGUGCAUGGCUGUCGUCAGCUCGUGUCGUGAGAUGUUGGGUUAAGUCCCGCAACGAGCGCAACCCUCGUCUUUAGUUGCCAUCAUUAAGUUGGGCACUCUAGAGAGACUGCCGGUGACAAACCGGAGGAAGGUGGGGAUGACGUCAAGUCAGCAUGCCCCUUACGUCCUGGGCAACACACGUACUACAAUGGUGAGGACAGAGGGCAGCAAGCCAGCGAUGGCAAGCCAAUCCCAUAAACCUCGCCUCAGUUCAGAUCGCAGGCUGCAACUCGCCUGCGUGAAGGAGGAAUCGCUAGUAAUCGCCGGUCAGCAUACGGCGGUGAAUCCGUUCCCGGGCCUUGUACACACCGCCCGUCACACCAUGGAAGUUGGCCACGCCCGAAGUCGUUACCCUAACCGCUUGCGGAGGGGGAUGCCGAAGGCAGGGCUGAUGACUGGGGUGAAGUCGUAACAAGGUA